CUAAAAUUUCUAAUCUACCUCCCUAACACCGACGCGCUCAAAUCCUCGAUUCCAAAUCAAUUGACGGCGGCGGCCGCCCUCCCCACCUUCACACCGACCUCGAAUAGCAGGAAUGGGAAUGGGAAGAGGAGGAGCGAUUCUAGAACCUCAUGGGAUGGGACGAUAUUCUAAGCUCAGCUCGUCUCCGCUAAUCACGAUUUGGAUUUGAUUCUCGCAACAACUAUUAUGGUGGAGAGUCUACUUGGCUCAAUCUCAUUCAGCUUUGGAAAAGAUUUAGAGGAAGUGAUAAGCCACCAGCUCACCUGGGCUCCAGUAGAGAUUAUAACGUUGACAUGAUCCCUAAGGUUCGUAUUGUUUUUACACUGGUGGACGCCCUUUAGAUUUUUCUUCAAUCAAUACGUGCUAUCUUGACAUAGUGCAGUAUAUCAUGAUGGCAAAUGGUGUUCUUGUGCGAGUCCUCAUUCAAAGCUGUUGAUGGUAGCUUUGUUCGCAACAAAGGAAAGAUAUUAUUAUUGUAUCUUAUCAUUUGUCUCGUUUUGCGUUCAUGGACGACUGCUGAUUCUCCUAACUUUGUGGUAAAUGAGUGCAACAGAUUCACAAGGUUCCAGUUUUUCAUUUAUGUCCAAGAUUUUACUAAACAAACUUGUGAAGAAGAAGAACCAAAACAAGAGCAAGAAGUAUAAGAGGAAAGAAAUACCUUACUGAAUCGCCUUGCCACUUGCCCCUGCUAAAUCAAAUCUUUAAUCAAAUCAAAAAAAUAAUUAAAACAGCCAUUUUACUACACAAACUUGUGAAAAGAGAGAAGAAGAACAAGAAGAAGAAAACGUACCAUUGCAGCCCUAAAAGAAGGAGAAGAUGACGUACCAUAUAUUGCAGCCCCAAAAGAGGAAGAAGAUGACGUACCAUAUAUUGCAGCCCCAGAAUCAACAAUAUUGCUCCCUCCGUUUGUUUUUUCAUGGAGUUUUAGAAAUAUUAGUAUUAUACUGGGAUAAAGUAGAAAUAAAAGUUAGUAUUGUAUGAUAUAAAUGUAAUGGUAUUUGUGUAAUAUAUUGUAAUUGAAAGAAUAUUUGUAAAUACAAUUACUAAAAAAAAAAUGGAUAUUUUGUUAUGGGACGAACGCAAAUG